ACAGUGCGCGCGCCAAACGAUGUCUGCACUUGCCACGUUUUUUGCACGCGAAGACGUCUAGACGGAACUGGCUUUCCGGCAUGCCUGUCAGGUCUCUCGACAAACGACCAGGGCAAUUCUGGAAAGACGAUCGGAACACCCGGUCAGCUGUUCGUUGUCGUAGAAACCUGAUGGGAGUGCUGUGGAUGUGUCGUCGCGGAGGAAAGCGAUUGCUGUGACGACCUCGCAGUACUACACCAAGCACUGCUGCUGUCCGCGAUGGCUCGGCAUGCCAGCCACGGUCAAAACGUAGUCGCGUCCGAGGUGAAAAUGCAAGGAGCGCGCGCAUCUGCUAGCAGAGGAGCACGCGAGCGUCUGUGGCUAACAAGUCGCGCUCAAGGAGGAGAAGAUGUGCUGCCACGAGUUUACCGUCUGGCCAAACUGAAUCACUCAAGCGCAACAAGGCACUUUUUGAAGACGACGCAACGUCAACAGGACAUUACUUCUUGCGCGAGAAAUCAAUAAACCAUAAGAAGCGUCACUUUGUGAGUUUGUGAGUUUGUCAUCUGUUUGUGUUUCAUCUUCCGCUUAAGAAACAACGCUCAGUUGUAAAUCAGGCGUAAAAUACCGUUUAUCCGAGAACCAUAAAAUAAUUAUGCUGUCAUUAGCCAAUAAAACAGUCAUUAUGGAUAUCCCACUUUUUGACAGGAUAUCUAGCCUGUUGAAGCAAAGGCAACGUGGAAAUCUG